UGUAGUUCAUGGUGUUUGGUGUGUGGGGUUGAAGAAAAGGAGACAAGAUGUGACAUUGUUUUGGGCAAGGAAAAGCAACACAAGAAAGAGGAUGCAGAAAAAAACUUUGCACCUUUCCCCCUGUAUCUUGGGAACAUGGAAACUGCGAGACUGGACCCAAUUCAGAAUGCCAGUGAGUAUGGGAAAAGAGUUUGAUUUUGAGAGAAGAAAAAUAGUAAUUCUCAUCCACUGUCAUGGAGUAAACAAUACGACGCACAACAUGCAGAUGCACAGCAGGACAAUAACAUGAUCAGCUGGGAUUCAAAUUUACAGGAAAAGAAGACACAAAAGAAGAGAAAAACUUUUAUGAAUAUGAGCUGAGAUUGGCAAGUCCAUUUUUCUCCUGAUUCCCAUAAU